UACGGGAGGCAGCAGUGGGGAAUAUUGCACAAUGGGCGCAAGCCUGAUGCAGCCAUGCCGCGUGUAUGAAGAAGGCCUUCGGGUUGUAAAGUACUUUCAGCAGUGAGGAAGGUGGGUAUGUUAAUAGCAUACUCAUUUGACGUUAGCUGCAGAAGAAGCACCGGCUAACUCCGUGCCAGCAGCCGCGGUAAUACGGAGGGUGCGAGCGUUAAUCGGAAUUACUGGGACGUAAAGCGCAUGCAGGUGGUUUGUUAAGUCAGAUGUGAAAGCCCGGGGCUCAACCUCGGAAUUGCAUUUAGAAACUGGACAAACUAGAGUACUGUAGAGGGGGUAGAAUUUCAGGUGUAGCGGUGAAAUGCGUAGAGAUCUGAAGGAAUACCGGUGGCGAAGGCGGCCCCCUGGACAGAUACUGACACUCAGAUGCGAAAGCGUGGGGAGCAAACAGGAUUAGAUACCCUGGUAG
rnacentral:rRNA from 1 species